rnacentral:rRNA from 1 species
UACGUAGGUGGCGAGCGUUGUCCGGAUUUACUGGGUGUAAAGGGAGCGUAGACGGCAUGGCAAGUCAGAUGUGAAAGCCCGGGGCUCAACCCCGGGACUGCAUUUGAAACUGUCAGGCUGGAGUGCAGGAGAGGUAAGCGGAAUUCCUAGUGUAGCGGUGAAGUGCGUAGAUAUUAGGAGGAACACCAGUGGCGAAGGCGGCUUACUGGACUGUAACUGACGUUGAGGCUCGAAAGCGUGAGGAGCAAACAGG